AUUGAACGCUGGCGGCAGGCUUAACACAUGCAAGUCGAGCGGAGAUGAGGUGCUUGCACCUUAUCUUAGCGGCGGACGGGUGAGUAAUGCUUAGGAAUCUGCCUAUUAGUGGGGGACAACAUUCCGAAAGGAAUGCCAAUACCGCAUACGUCCUACGGGAGAAAGCAGGGGAUCUUCGGACCUUGCGCUAAUAGAUGAGCCUAAGUCGGAUUAGCUAGUUGGUGGGGUAAAGGCCUACCAAGGCGACGAUCUGUAGCGGGUCUGAGAGGAUGAGCCGCCACACUGGGACUGAGGCACGUCCCAGACUCCUACGGGCUGCAGCAGUGGGGAAUAUUGGACAAUGGGGGAAACCCUGAUCCAGCCAUGCCGCGGGUGUGAAGAAGGCCUUAUGGUUGUAAAGCACUUUAAGCGAGGAGGAGGCUACUGAGACUAAUACUCUUGGAUAGUGGACGUUACUCGCAGAAUAAGCACCGGCUAACUCUGUGCCAGCAGCCGCCGCAG
rnacentral:rRNA from 1 species